GCCUCUUGAUUAAACCAUAAGAGGUCCAGCCUGCCCAGUGACAUUGUUCAACGGCCGCGGUAUCCUAACCGUGCGAAGGUAGCGUAAUCACUUGUCCUUUAAAUGAAGACUAGUAUGAAUGGCCCCACGAAAGCUAUACUGUCUCCUUUUUCUAAUCAGUUAAACUAAUCUCCCCGUGAAGAAGCGGGGAUAAACAUAUAAGACGAGAAGACCCUAUGGAGCUUCAAACAACUGAAACACUUGUAUAUCCUCCCUCACCUGCCAACAUUUAACCUCACAUUUUGUUUCUAGUUUUAGGUUGGGGUGACCACGGAGAAAAAACCAACCUCCACGACGAAAGAGACAUCUCUAAACAAAAAGCUACAUCUUUAUGUAUUAACACAUUAACCUUUAUUGACCCAAUAAAUUGAUCAACGAACCAAG
rnacentral:rRNA from 1 species